UUAAGAUGGCAGAGCCGGUAAUUGCAUAAAGCUUAAGCCUUUACUCCCAGAGGUUCAAACCCUCUUCUUAAUA
ensembl:Mt_tRNA